GCCUUCGUGGUGUAGUGGUCAGCACGUUCGAUGCAUAAUCGAGAGGUCCGUGUUUCGAAUCCCGUCGAGAGCA
rnacentral:tRNA from 1 species